CAAUAGCGUAUAUUAACGUUGUUGCAGUUAAAAAGCUCGUAGUUGGAUUUCUGGAGGGAGCGUCGGCCCGUAUUUACGAGUGCGUGACGUCUCUGUCCAUCCUUGCGGGAAGGCACGGCAUUGAUUUGUUGUGUCGGAUCGCAUCAUUUACUGUGAAAAAAUUAGAGUGUUCAAAGCAGGCUUUCGCUUGAAUACAUUAGCAUGGAAUAAUAAGAUAGGACUUUGGUGCUAUUUUGUUGGUUGAGCCUAAAGUAAUGAUUAAUAGGGAUAGUUGGGGGCACCUGUAUUGCGUUGUCAGAGGUGAAAUUCUUGGAUUUACGCAAGACAAACAGCUGCGAAAGCGUCUGCCAAGGAUGUUUUCAUUGA
rnacentral:rRNA from 1 species